rnacentral:rRNA from 1 species
UACGUAGGGUGCAAGCGUUAUUCGGAAUCACUGGGCGUAAAGGGUGCGUAGACGGUUUGUUAAGUUUGUUGUUAAAGACUCUGGCCUAACCGGAGGGUUGCAAUGAAAACUGGCGAGCUAGAGGGUGAGAGAGAGAAGUGGAAUUCCCGGAGUAGCGGUAAAAUGCGUGGAUCUCGGGAGGAACACCAAUGGCGAAGGCAGCUUCUUGGCUCAUUCCUGACGUUGAGGCACGAAAGCGUGGGGAGCAAACAGG